rnacentral:rRNA from 1 species
UACGGGGGGGGGCAAGCGUUGUUCGGAAUUACUGGGCGUAAAGGGCUCGUAGGUGGCCAACUAAGUCAGACGUGAAAUCCCUCGGCUUAACCGGGGAACUGCGUCUGAUACUGGAUGGCUUGAGUUUGGGAGAGGGAUGCGGAAUUCCAGGUGUAGCGGUGAAAUGCGUAGAUAUCUGGAGGAACACCGGUGGCGAAGGCGGCAUCCUGGACCGACACUGACGCUGAGGAGCGAAAGCCAGGGGAGCAAACGGG